AUUGAACGCUGGCGGCAGGCUUAACACAUGCAAGUCGAACGCCCGUAGCAAUACGGGAGUGGCGGACGGGUGAGUAACGCGUGGGAACGUGCCCUGAGGUACGGAAUAACUGCGGGAGACUGCAGCUAAUACCGUAUGAGCCCCGCAAGGGGGAAAGAUUUAUCGCCUUAGGAGCGGCCCGCGUCGGAUUAGCUAGUUGGUGGGGUAACGGCUUACCAAGGCUUCGAUCCGUAGCUGGUCUGAGAGGACGAUCAGCCACACUGGGACUGAGACACGGCCCAGACUCCUACGGGAGGCAGCAGUGGGGAAUCUUGCGCAAUGGGGGCAACCCUGACGCAGCCAUGCCGCGUGAAUGAUGAAGGCCUUAGGGUUGCAAAGUUCUUUUGCCCGUGACGAUGAUGACGGUAACGGGAGAAUAAGCUCCGGCUAACUUCGUGCCAGCCGCCGCAGUAAAAC
rnacentral:rRNA from 1 species